AGAGAGGGAAGGGGUUCAGAUGAGGAGCUCCGAAAUGGCCCCACAACAGCAGAGUUGAAGCAUUAAGGUAGCUAUUAUGGCCCAUCCACCGCCAGAGCUCCUCUUCAGCUGCAGAUACGGUGAUAUCUGGUCUACAACAAAUACAG